GGUGGGGGUGUUCUGUGCAGUAAUCAAGAACGUCACUUUGCUAUACGAUUUUAAUAUUAUUUGUCGAUACGCGAUGUCCGCGAAAGAGCUGCCGAUAGCAGAAUUACGACGGGAUAAAACAUGGGUACCUUUCGUAGGCGACUUUGCGCUUUUGAAGGAUUUCUUCGCGCAGAAGAGACGGCGAGCGUGGCACGCGGUGCAAUUAUUUGACGCUCUUCUGCGUGGAUUCGGACAGAUCGUUUUUGCGAACAAUCCUCUCAGCGGGCUGCUGAUAAUAGUCACCUUGGCUGCGGUGACGCCAGGUACACUGGCGUUGUCCGCGACCACCGCCGGCCUUGGCCUCCUACUGUCCGUGCUGAUACGGGAACCCGACGCUAUCGUCGAGAACGGGUUAAGCGUCUACAAUCCCCUGCUGGUCGGAGCGGUGUCGUACGAUCUGAUCCCGCAAAUUUACGGAGGCUUCGAUUCCUUCAGCUCCCUACUCCUGCUCCUGGCUACGAUACUCAGUGUUUAUCUCUCGCGGUCCCUGAGAAGCGAUAAAUUUCCGUGCACAACGUGGCCAUUUAACUUGGUGGAGUUCACGUUGAUUUGGGCUCUCAUGACGCAGAAUGGCGCGGGCAUGCUGGCCAAGCCUGCGGAACUGGCGCUCGAAGUGGUAAGUCCACUUGACCACAAUGCAACAAGUGAGACGACGACAACGGACGGCGCCGGUUUCUACGGGCAGAAUGCGACCGGCGUUUACGUCGACUGGGGAAUGGUUGUACAUGGCAGCGUUGCCUCCGCGUCGCAGCUGUUCGGAGUCGACAGCGUGAUCCUUGGAUCCGUCAUGUACCUGGCAAUGUUAAUAUACUCGCCUAUAACCACCGCGUUUGGGUACUUUGGCGCUCUCUGCGGAACCUUCGCAGGCUUGGAGCUCGGAGCGGACAGACACAAAGCUUACAGCGGCAUGUGGGGAUACAACAGUCUGCUGACCGGGGCUGGACUGGGAGGAAAUCUGCUGGUACUGAACGGUCAGACGGCCGUCGCCGCUAUCCUGGCGAUUAUUUACACUCCGCUCCUGCAGUACACCUUAGAAUCGAUAUUUGUAAAGUUGCAGCUGCCGGUGCUGACGCUACCGUUCGUGAUAGCGACUUCGUUGUUUCUAAAAUUAAGUGACGGCAAGGAGGAUCUAAUAUUUCCAGGGCCCGUAUCGAUCACCUUUCCCGAGAAAGAGCGUCAUCAUUAUCUCGCCCGGCGCGCGGCAUUUCGAGAGAGAUCGGGAUAAGCGGAGCCGCUUUAUCAUCACGGCUUAUAUCGAAUUCCAUCCUGCCCAAACCUGAUUUGCGACUGAAACUUUUCCCGCGAUAAGAUGGCUCUCAGGACCCAUCAAAACCACGCCCUACAAGAAGGACGGAAAUUGAUUCCUGCCCUACUCUCAGCUUGAAGAUACUGCGGAAGAACUUGAGCUCGUCGCCCGGAACGAAAGGAGGCCAAUCCCGUGAGAUAAUUAAUGGCUCAUCCCUCUCCCGAGUGAUAUAUAAUUACAAUUUAGUAUUACGUAGGCGAUGAUUUUGAACGUUUCUCAUAUCGUCUUAAUCGUUCGAAAUAAUCUACCAUUUUUAAACAUUUAUACAAGUGUAAUUUAUGCCUGACUGAAAGUCGAUCAUUUCGCUUGAUUGAAUUCGCCGCGCAUUUCCGACGACGGCCUUCAAUUUAAGUAACGUCAAUCCAAUAGCCGAGUUUAUCAUUUGUAUCUUCUCGAGUAGGAAAGGGUAUCCUUUUCGUCGAUUCGCUCAUGCGGAAUAGAUAAAGUUAUUCUUGCGAAACUUGCGAAUGUAUACUUUAAGCAUCAGUGAAUGCUAAUAGGAAUUUAUGCUAAUAGGAAGUUGUGUAUUAUAUCGAUAAAAUAGCUGGAGAGAUACAUUAACUACUCUAUUGUACUUUCUUGUACCGCACGAUAUUUCUUGUAGACCAACAACAAAGGUAAUAUGUUGAAACCCUCGAAAAGUACAAGAUGGAAAAUUUACGAAGAUAAAUGAAUACAUGAAAAGUUAUACAUUGUACUGACGGUAAAAAAUUCAAAAGUUACAAAACAGAUGCAAUAUAAUGUUAAUGUGCUGGAAUAAUUGUAUUUAAAAAAAAGGAUCUAAUUUUUCAAGCUGUGCACGUACGCUCGUCUUUUUGUAUGCAGUUCUUGCGCUAACGUCCCAGACACAUUUCUGAUUCCACCAAGAUUCCUCGCCGCGUUUCCAGAUAAUGGCGUACGUGCUAAUCGCCUUAUCUCGCGUGGGCGAUCCAGGACACGGGCGGGAAGAUGAUAUAUAGAGGCUUCUUCGGGUGGGAAAAGGGAAUUUUUUCGGCGGGGCGCCUUUACCGAGCCACGAGAAGCUACAGGUCGAUCGAUGGAAUUUAUUUCAACGCUUGGUCGUCACGGGCUAUAAAUUCGAUUGCUAAAUUUGCUGCAGAAGCCAAGUUGUGUCAGGGGAGCCGUACGUGGAGCUCAACUGCUUAUUGCUACUAGAUUUCGAUUCUAGACUUCGAUUCCUCACAUUCAUGCGAAGGCGAACUGCCGCGAAAUAUGAGACCGACGAAAUUCCGCGCAUGAAGAAGAGAACCCGAUUGGAACUCUUCCAAGGCGAACGGAUGGCGACGGGCAAUCUGCGAAGGAAAUUUGUCCCGAGAACAAGUGUUAACAAAGACAAGGUUGGCCCUCGGGGCCUUCCUCGACCUAAUCAAACUAGCGAAAAGAACGCCUUGCCGUUCGUGCGGGUACGACUGCCGCAACUCGCCCUCGUUGUUCAAGAAAGGGGAGCUAAUGAAGAAAAGUAGAGCGAGAUUUCUGGUUGCCCGCACGAACGUUACUUCUAACGCGAUUGUUACUUUGGCAGCAUUUUUUUUCUAGUUAUGAUUUGUAACUCGAGAUUUAUCCGAUCUCGAUUAUUAAUAUUAAGAAUCGCUGUAACAUGUUACGACGUUGUUAAAACGUAGAAUUUCCUCUUCGUCUGGUACAUUGCGAGUACCAUGAUCUAUCUUUAUAACGCAACUGUGCCGUUGCAAGUAAUAAAAUGAUUUAUACCUCGAUAAGCCCGGUUUAAUACAGGGCCCAGAUGCCUCCGCAAAGUCGGCUUUUCCUCUGCGAGACCCGUGUAGCGGACAGUCUCGCGUCCGAUAAUUGUACGAUAGUAUGUUAAAAUUAAUGCUGGUAAUUUGCGGUUUGCCGACACACGCAGUUUGCCAUUUCGGGAGUAAUUAAAGGCCAAUAAUUUUCAUUUGGUACAUCAACUACUCACUAAUAGCAGGACAGUGAGUACGUUAUAUAUUGAUAAUAUAAGCGCUGCGAAUUAAAGUUUAACUAAAUUAUAAAAUUUAUGUGAAGUCAAA